UACGAAGGGGGCUAGCGUUGCUCGGAAUUACUGGGCGUAAAGCGCACGUAGGCGGCGAUUCAAGUUAGAUGUGAAAGGCCUGGGCUCAACCCGGGAACUGCAUUUGAUACUGAAUUGCUAGAGUCCAAGAGAGGGUAGUGGAAUUCCCAGUGUAGAGGUGAAAUUCGUAGAUAUUGGGAAGAACACCAGUGGCGAAGGCGGCUACCUGGCUUGGUACUGACGCUCAGGUGCGAAAGCGUGGGGAGCGAACAGG
rnacentral:rRNA from 2 species